GCUGCUUGUUGGAAAAGCAUUCAAACUUGUCAGGCUGUCUAGAGUCUGCUCAGAUCUAUUCAGGGUCCUGUGCACUGAUGCAAGCCAAAUGACAAGCAGAGUUGCAGAGAAUCAGACAGCAUGUCAAAGUCGGGGACUGCGGUUGCUGCUGCUGGAUCUUGGAACCAAGCCUGGAUUCAUUUCUCAGGCACAGUAAAAGACAAUAUUGAAUUCUUCCCUCCAGAUCUUGACAGGAUGUAAUUAAUACUUUCUUUCUGCUUUAAAUAA